rnacentral:rRNA from 1 species
UACGGAGGGUGCAAGGGUUCUCCGGAAUCACUGGGUUUAAAGGGUGUGUAGGCGGCUAAUUAAGUCAGAGGUGAAAGCUUGCAGCUUAACUGCGAAAUUGCCUUUGAUACUGUAUAGCUUGAAAUGAGCUGAGGUUAGCAGAAUGUGGCAUGUAGCGGUGAAAUGCAUAGAUAUGCCAUAGAAUACCAAUUGCGAAGGCUGCUGGCUGGGCUUAUUUUGACGCUGAGGCACGAAAGCGUGGGGAUCGAACAGG